rnacentral:rRNA from 1 species
CCAGACUCCUACGGGAGGCAGCAGUGGGGAAUAUUGCACAAUGGGCGCAAGCCUGAUGCAGCCAUGCCGCGUGUAUGAAGAAGGCCUUCGGGUUGUAAAGUACUUUCAGUCGGGAGGAAGGUGGUAAGGUUAAUAACCUUAUCAAUUGACGUUACCGACAGAAGAAGCACCGGCUAACUCCGUGCCAGCAGCCGCGGUAAUACGGAGGGUGCAAGCGUUAAUCGGAAUUACUGGGCGUAAAGCGCACGCAGGCGGUCUGUCAAGUCGGAUGUGAAAUCCCCGGGCUCAACCUGGGAACUGCAUUCGAAACUGGCAGGCUGGAGUCUUGUAGAGGGGGGUAGAAUUCCAGGUGUAGCGGUGAAAUGCGUAGAGAUCUGGAGGAAUACCGGUGGCGAAGGCGGCCCCCUGGACAAAGACUGACGCUCAGGUGCGAAAGCGUGGGGAGCAAACAGGAUUAGAUGCCCCCGUAAA